GAUGAACGCUGGCGGCGUGCCUAAUACAUGCAAGUCGAGCGAACAGACGAGGAGCUUGCUCCUCUGACGUUAGCGGCGGACGGGUGAGUAACACGUGGAUAACCUACCUAUAAGACUGGGAUAACUUCGGGAAACCGGAGCUAAUAACGGAUAAUAUAUUGAACCGCAUGGUUCAAUAGUGAAAGACGGUUUUGCUGUCACUUAUAGAUGGAUCCGCGCCGCAUUAGCUAGUUGGUAAGGUAACGGCUUACCAAGGCAACGAUGAGUAGCCGACCUGAGAGGAUGAUCGGCCACACUGGAACUGAGACACGGCCCAGACUCCUACGGGAGGCAGCAGUAGGGAAUCUUGCGCAAUGGGCGAAAGCUUGACGGAGCAACGCCGCGUGAGUGAUGAAGGUCUUCGGAUUGUAAAGCUCUGUUAUCAGGAAAGAAAAGGUGUGUAAGUAUCUAUGCACGUCUUGACGGUACCUGAAGAGAAAGCCACGGCUAACUACGUG
rnacentral:rRNA from 1 species